rnacentral:rRNA from 1 species
UACAGAGGUCCCCGAGCGUUUGUUCGGAUUCAUUGGGCGUAAAGGGUGCGUAGGCGGUCUGCUAAGUUUGAUGUGAAAUCCCGGGGCUCAACCCUGGAAUGGCAUUGAAUACUGGCGGACUAGAGUACCGGAGAGGAAACUGGAAUUUACGGUGUAGCAGUGAAAUGCGUAGAGAUCGUAAGGAAGACCAGUGGCGAAGGCGAGUUUCUGGACGGUAACUGACGCUGAGGCACGAAGGCCAGGGGAGCAAACGGG